AUCUACGACCAUACCACCCCAAAUGUGCCUGAUCUUAUGUGAUCUUGGAAGCCAAGCAGGGUCGGGCAUGGUUAGUACUAGGUUGGGAGAUGGCGUGGGAAUGGUGCUGUAGUCUUAAAAC
rnacentral:rRNA from 1 species